GUCUACGGCCAUGCUACCCUGAACAAGCCUGAUCUCGUCUGAUCUCAGAAGCUAAGUAGGGUCAGGCCUGGUUAGUACUUGGAUAAGAGAACACCUGGGAAUAACAGGUGCUAUAGGUG
rnacentral:rRNA from 1 species